CAGUCGCCACGGUAAUACGAAGGGUGCAAGCGUUAAUCGGAAUUACUGGGCGUAAAGCGUGCGUAGGCGGUUUGUUAAGUCUGUUGUGAAAUCCCCGGGCUCAACCUGGGAAUGGCAAUGGAUACUGGCAAGCUAGAGUGUGUCAGAGGAUGGUGGAAUUCCCGGUGUAGCGGUGAAAUGCGUAGAGAUCGGGAGGAACAUCAGUGGCGAAGGCGGCCAUCUGGGACAACACUGACGCUGAGGCACGAAAGCGUGGGGAGCAAACAGGAUUAGAUACCCCGGUAGUCCCUGUCUCUUAUAC
rnacentral:rRNA from 1 species